rnacentral:rRNA from 1 species
AUGGAUCUCGCCAUGGGGACCAUGGGCUCCCUCCUCCCCAAGCUGCUCGAGGUCAUCAAGGACGAGUACAACCUACAGAAGGAAUUUAAGGAAAAGGUCAAGUCCUGCUGUACUGAGCUAAAAGCUAUGCAAGCUGCCCUUGGCAAGGUGGCAGAGGUGCCGCGGGAUCAACUCGAUUCCGAGACCAAGGGUUGGGCUGACCAAGUUAGAGAGCUGUCUUACGAAAUGGAGGACGUCAUCGACUCUCUCCUGGUGCGUGUUGUGGGCUGUGACUCUAACCCCAAUGAUCAUCAGAACAGGCUCAAGAAGCUCUGGGUCAGCUUCAGGGAUCUGUUUAAAAAGGGCAAGGAUAAACAUAGGAUUUCCACAGAUGUCAAAGAGAUUGAGAAGCAGUUGCAAAAAGUCGCCAUCCAACACGAAAGGUAUAAAACUACUAAUCUACCUGCAGUCACAAGGGACCCCCUUAAUCCUCUCUUGGAGGUUCUCUAUGGAGAUAAGAAGAAUAUCAUCGGCCUAGAGGAAGCAAGGAACGAUAUUAUCAAGAAGAUCACCGAGGGGGACUGUAAGAAACUCAAGACACUCUCUAUUGUUGGAUUUGGAGGAUUGGGAAAGACUACGCUUGCCAAAGAAGUAUAUGAUGCCCUUGCAACAAAAUUUGAACACAAAGCAAUUGUGUCUGUGUCUCGGAAUCCCGACAUACAGAAAGUAUUAAGCGAUCUUCUCUUUAAACUUGACCAGAAAAUACAUGCUAGUCAUAAUGCAGCAAACUUGGACGUUGAGCAGCUCACCUUCCUAAUCAGAGGAUUACUUAGCAACAAAAGGUACUUUAUAAUUAUCGAUGAUUUAUGGGAUAAAAAAGCAUGGAAAGAAAUCAGGUAUGCACUUGAGGACAAUGAGUGUGGAAGUAUAAUAAUCACUACAACCCGCCAUGUUGAGAUCUCUGAAGAAUGUUGCCCUUCUAAAGAUUAUAUGAUUCAUAAGAUGAAAUCUCUCUCUGAUGAUGACUCGCAAAAACUUUUCUAUGGAAGAAUAUUUCCAAGUGAGGUGCGUCCUUCUCGGUUUGAGCAAGUAUCCAAAGAGAUCUUGAAGAAAUGUGCAGGGGUACCAUUAGCCAUCAUUAGUCUGGCUAGUUAUUUGGCUAACAAUCAGAACAGAGAUCGAAUUGAUAAAUGGAAAGAUUUGCUCAAUUCCAUUGGCAGUGGACUUCAAAAUGGUGAUGAUCAUGUGGACGAGAUGAAGAGGAUAUUAUUAUUGAGUUAUUACGACCUCCCUUCCUAUUUGAAAACAUGCUUUUUAUAUCUAAGUAUCUUUCCUGAAGAUCAUCAAAUUAGCAGAGACCGGUUGAUAAGGAGAUGGAUUUGUGAAGGUUUUAUCCAAGUAAAAGGUCAAACCAGUCUGCUUGAGCUUGGAGAUGCCUACUUCAACGAGUUAGUAAACAGGAACAUGAUCAUGCCGAUAAGCAUACAUGAUGGUAGGGUUGAAGCUUGUUGUGUACAUGAUAUAAUGCUGGAUCUUAUAUGUGAAUUAUCAAGCCAAGAAAACUUUGUUACUGUACUGGAUUUUAUCAAGGGAGACACACCUUUGGAAAAGAAGUUCCGCAGGUUGUCCCUCCAAAAGGGCAUGACAGAUCCCACCACUACUCGGAAGGCUACCACAAACAUGUCACAAGUGAGGUCUUUUACCGCUUUUAGUCCUGCUGUCAGUAAGAUUCCCUCUCUUUCUAGAUUUCAAGCUUUGCGUGUAUUGGAUCUGGAAGGUUGUGAUCUUGGAGGAAGUCCUGGUGUUGACCUUAGGCCUGUUGAGAACUUGUUACAUUUGAGAUACCUAGGGUUAAGGGGUACAAAUGUUGGCAACCUCUCGAUGGAAAUGGCAAAGCUACAGUUUUUGCAGACACUAGACUUGCAACGAACCAAUUCGAAUGAAUUGCCCUCCAGUGUUGUUCAGCUGGGGCAUUUGAUGUGCCUAAUCCUUGAUAAAGGCAUGCCACUGCCAGAAGGGUUCAGGAACCUGACAUGCCUUGAACAGCUGACAGGAGAUGGGGUGGGCAUUUUUUCUGCAGACAGCGCAAAAGAGCUGGGUGAUCUGAUCAGGCUAAGGGAGCUCGCCUUUAAGUGGGAUUCAAGGAGAAAAAAUCCUAGACGAUUAUUUCCGAAGCCGGACGAUCUAAGGAGAACUGAUGAACCUUUGACUCAUUUCAUAUAUGGUAGUCUGAGAGAAAAUAUAGGUGUGCUUGAUUCCCUAGACAAACACCUGACAAUUGAUAAGGCUUUGAUUGAAUCCCUAGGCAAUCUGCCAGAACUCAGGAGUCUGGAGAUCACCUCUACUGGUCCUUGGGAUGCCAACCUUAUGCAGGAUUGGGUGCCCUCUCCAAACCUCUGCAGGUUUAAAUAUGACGGACUUCUUGAGAGCUUGCCUGCAAAGAUUUGUUCUUCGUCACUUCCCCAACUCUCCAACCUAUAUCUUCAUGUCAAUAAAGUGCGCCCAGAGGAUAUCCAGAUCCUUGGGAUGCUGCCAGCUCUCCAUUAUGUCACCCUCAUGUCCGAUCUAGGCGAUGGCAAGAACACAGUGGAACAGUUGGUGCUUGGUGCCGCUGCCUUCCCCAGAGUGAGAGUGUGCCUUUUCCGUGAUCUUCUACUGGUGCACCCUACCUUCCAACUAGGAGCUAUGCCAAUGGUGCAACGCCUUCGCUUCGGUCUCCGAGUGAAUGACAUCCUCAGCCAUGACUUCGAUUUGAGCAUACGGAACCUUCCUUCACUCAAGCAACUCAGAAUUGACCUUCUGAAUAAGGAAGUCGGCCCUGAAGAUUAUUCCCAAGCCGUGAACGUGCUGAGGUGUGUGGCGAACGACCAUCCCAAAAAUCCCACCGUUCAUGCUGAUAAAUACUUCCGAAUGACAUGA